ensembl:lncRNA
GCCUCCUAGAAUGGUGAGGAAUUCUAAUGCCACCAUCUCCCAGUUUACACUGGUCUCCCCCUAGGUGUUCGAGCACCUGAUGAUUACUGUAUUCAUUACACAAGAGCCGUACAGCCUUUGAAAAGAAGCACUCAGAUGCAAGUCAACCACAAGACAUAUAUUUUCUCCCCAGCAUUCACAAGAACUGGCCUUGAUGGUGAAAGAUCACACACGUGCUAACCAGAAAGAGGGAGGUCACAGCAUCUGUGAAACCUGCAGCAGAUUUUCUGUACCAGGAUAAUCAUUCCUCUCCAGGUGGCACCACUCUGCUGGGUGGAAAGGGCUG